GUCUCUGGUUGGGCAAAGAGGGAGGAGAUGGGUGUCAUCUCCCAAUUGGAGGAAAUUUGAAAUUUUGGUUCAAAUUUUAGGGCUUUGUAACUGUUUACGGUUCUCUCUCCCCUCCAUUUGUUAUUAUCGAUACUGAUUUUAACGGCCAAUACUUAUGGGACAGCAAUGCCACUCAAAAUGGAUCUCGAGAGGCAAAUUCUCUCGCGGGGCAUAAGAAAAGAAAAGAAAAGACUAGCGAUGGAGAACUCAAGUUCCAGCAGUGAGUUGCAGACGCUCAUAGAAGCCAUAAAAAUUUUAGAGGACUGAUCAUGCACCCUGCAAUUGGAGUGGGAAUGGAACUUCAGAAAGAAAAGAAUCCAAGACAGUGGGACUCGGGACAAGUCGGUUAAUCUACGUGCAAUUCACGUGUCGGUGUGUUCUCCUAUUAUUAUGAACCACCCGACCUGGAAGCUUUUAUUGGGUGGACAAUUCGAGAUCUUUAAGAGGAGAGGAGACAACAUCUGCAGCAGAACAUAUUGUUGCUUUCAAAUAAUUUGGAAAGAAAGAUACAGUGGUAUCUGAAUUGUAUAGAAGUUGAAUAAGAUGGCGGAGGAAGAAAAAAAGAAGGGGGUGGUGGUCGAAUCCCUAGGAUGGCUAACGGAAUCUUCCAUCAUGCCCAAGUUCGUAGGGCCUGGAAAAACUGCUGGAAUCCUUGACAAUGAUGAGCAUAAAGCAUUUCGUAAGGUUGAUUUUUGGUCGGGUUUCUUGAAGCUUUAAGGUUGUAUGGUCGUGGUUAGCGCCAAAUAGAAGAGCAUGUAGGCACCAAAUCUGCAGUUCAAAUUCGAAGCCAUGCUCAAAAGUUUUUCUCUAAGGCUCAUUGCUUUGAGUUCAUUACAAGAUUUCCUUGAUUAAGUAGAUGUAUUAUAUCUUUUAUUACCAAGAUUUACUUGAUUAAGAAAAUGCAUUGUAUGUUUUAUU